rnacentral:rRNA from 1 species
UACGUAGGGGUCUAGCGUUGUCCGGAAUUAUUGGGCGUAAAGCGCACGUAGGCGGCUUUGUAAGUUAGAGGUGAAAGCCCGGGGCUCAACUCCGGAACUGCCUUUAAGACUGCAUCGCUUGAAUCCAGGAGAGGUGAGUGGAAUUCCGAGUGUAGAGGUGAAAUUCGUAGAUAUUCGGAAGAACACCAGUGGCGAAGGCGACUUACUGGACACAUAUUGACGCUGAGGUGCGAAAGCGUGGGGAGCAAACAGG